rnacentral:rRNA from 1 species
GUGAGUAAUGUCUGGGAAACUGCCUGAUGGAGGGGGAUAACUACUGGAAACGGUAGCUAAUACCGCAUAACGUCGCAAGACCAAAGAGGGGGACCUUCGGGCCUCUUGCCAUCAGAUGUGCCCAGAUGGGAUUAGCUAGUAGGUGGGGUAACGGCUCACCUAGGCGACAAUCCCUAGCUGGUCUGAGAGGAUGACCAGCCACACUGGAACUGAGACACGGUCCAGACUCCUACGGGAGGCAGCAGUGGGGAAUAUUGCACAAUGGGCGCAAGCCUGAUGCAGCCAUGCCGCGUGUAUGAAAAAAGCCUUCGGGUUGUAAAGUACUUUCAGCGGGGAGGAAGGCGAUAAGGUUAAUAACCUCGUCGAUUGACGUUACCCGCAGAAAAAACACCGGCUAACUCCGUGCCAGCAGCCGCGGUAAUACGGAGGGUGCAAGCGUUAAUCGGAAUUACUGGGCGUAAAGCGCACGCAGGCGGUCUGUCAAGUCGGAUGUGAAAUCCCCGGGCUCAACCUGGGAACUGCAUU